CACAAGCGGCGGAGCAUGCGGAUUAAUUCGAUGCAACGCGAAGAACUUACCAAGGCUUGACAUACACCGGUAACGCCCACGAGAUGGGUGCCCCUUCGUUGGUCGGUGGACAGGUGGUGCAUGGUUGUCGUCAGCUCGUGUCGUGAGAUGUUGGGUUAAGUCCCGCAACGAGCGCAACCCUCGUCCUAUGUUGCCAGCGGGUCAUGCCGGGGACUCAUGGGAGACUGCCGGGGUCAACUCGGAGGAAGUGGGAUGACGUCAAAUCAUCAUGCCCCUUAUGUCUUGGGCUUCACGCAUGCUACAAUGGCCGGUACAAAGGGCUGCGAUACCGCGAGGUGGAGCGAAUCCCAGAAAGCCGGUCUCAGUUCGGAUUGAGGUCUGCAACUCGACCCCAUGAAGUCGGAGUCGCUAGUAAUCGCAGAUCAGCAACGCUGCGGUGAAUACGUUCCCGGGCCUU
rnacentral:rRNA from 1 species